rnacentral:rRNA from 1 species
GACGGAGGGUGCAAGCGUUGCUCGGAAUAAUUGGGCAUAAAGAGUGGGUAGGUGGUUUGAUAGGUCUGAGGUGAAAGCCUUGAGCUUAACUCAAGAAGAGCUUCAGAAACGGUUAGACUAGAGUGCUCGAGAGGGUCGUGGAAUUCCCGGUGGAGCGGUGAAAUGCGUAGAGAUCGGGAGGAACACCAGAGGCGAAGGCGACGACCUAGAGAGAAACUGACACUGAACCACGAAAGCGUGGGUAGCAAACAGG